rnacentral:rRNA from 1 species
GGGAGUGAAAUAGAACCUGAAACCCUGCACUUACAAGCUGUGGAAGCACAUUUCUUGUGUGACCGCGUACUUUUUGUAGAACGGGCCAACGAGUUACGUUAAGUAGCAAGGUUAAGCACUUAAGGUGCGGAGCCGUAGCGAAAGCGAGUUUUAACUGAGCGUUCAGUUACUGGACGUAGACCCGAAACCGGGCGACCUACCCAUGAGCAGGAUGAAGCGAAAGUAAAAUUUCGUGGAGGUCCGAACCCACGAGCGUUGAAAAGCUCGGGGAUGACUUGUGGGUAGCGGUGAAAUUCCAAUCGAGCCCGGAGAUAGCUGGUUCUCCCCGAAAUAGCUUUAGGGCUAGCCUCAAGGUGAGAGAUACGGAGGUAGAGCACUGAAUGUCCUAGGGGGUAUUGCACCUA